rnacentral:rRNA from 1 species
AUACGGAGGAUGCGAGCGUUAUCCGGAUUUAUUGGGUUUAAAGGGAGCGUAGGUGGGAUAUUAAGUCAGCUGUGAAAGUUUGGGGCUCAACCUUAAAAUUGCAGUUGAUAUUGGUUUCCUUGAGUACGGUAUAGGUGGGCGGAAUUCGUGGUGUAGCGGUGAAAUGCUUUGAUAUCACGAAGAACUCCGAUCGCGAAGGCAGCUCACCGGGCCGGAACUGACACUGAUGCUCGAAAGUGCGGGUAUCAAACAGGAUUAGAUACCCUGGUAGUCCGCACAGUAAACGAUGAAUACUCGCUGUUUGCGAUACACUGUAAGCGGCCAAGCGAAAGCGUUAAGUAUUCCACCUGGGGAGUACGCCGGCAACGGUGAAACUCAAAGGAAUCGACGGGG